UUUUUUUUCUUCUUUGGCUGUCCGAGUUGUAAUCUAGAGAAGUGCUUACCUGCACUGGACCAUGUAUAAGUCUCCUGGAAUGGAGCGUCACAGAGGGUGAGAAUCCCGUCUUUGACAUGGACUGCCAGUGUGUUGUGGUGUGCUCUCAAAGAGUCGAGUUGUUUGGGAAUGCAGCUCUAAAUGGGUGGUAAACUCCAUCUAAAGCUAAAUAUUGGCGAGAGACCGAUAGUGAACAAGUACCGUGAGGGAAAGAUGAAAAGGACUUUGGAAAGAGAGUUAAACAGUAUGUGAAAUUGUUGAAAGGGAAACGCUUGAAGUCAGUUAUGUUGGCUAGGGAUCAACCUAGCUAUUUUUUUUGYUGGGUGAAUUUCCUAGUCKGACAGGCCAACUUCAGUCUUGAYUGCUGGAAAAGAGCAGAGGGAAUGUGGCACCUUUGGGUGUGUUAUAGCCCUUCGUCAUAUGUGGCAGUUGGGACUGAGGGAUGCAGCAUGCCGUGAGGCUGGGUCUUUGACCACGUUCAUGCUUAGGAUGUUGGCUUUUAAUGGCUUCAAUCGACCCGUCUUGAAACACGGACCAAGGAGUCUAACAUGCCUGCGAGUGUUUGGGUGGGGAAAACCCUUGUGCACAAUGAAAGUGAAAGUUGAGAUCCCUGUCAUGGGGAGCAUCGACGCCCGGACCUGAGCUUUUAGCGACGGAUCYGCGGUAGAGCAUGCAUGUUGGGACCCGAAAGAUGGUGAACUAUGCCUGAAUAGGGCAAAGCCAGAGGAAACUCUGGUGGAGGCUCGUAGCGAUUCUGACGUGCAAAUCGAUCGUCAAAUUUGGGUAUAGGGGCGAAAGACUAAUCGAACCAUCUAGUAGCUGGUUCCUGCCGAAGUUUCCCUCAGGAUAGCAGAAGCUCAUUAUCAGAUUUAUGUGGUAAAGCGAAUGAUUAGAGGCCUUGGGGUUGAAACAACCUUAACCUAUUCUCAAACUUUAAAUAUGUAAGAACGAGCUGUCACUUGACU
rnacentral:rRNA from 1 species